UACGUAGGUGGCAAGCGUUGUCCGGAUUUAUUGGGUUUAAAGGGUGCGUAGGCGGCUUUGUAAGUCAGUGGUGAAAUAUGGCAGCUCAACUGUCAAGGUGCCAUUGAUACUGCGAGGCUUGAGUACAGAUGAGGUAGGCGGAAUUGACGGUGUAGCGGUGAAAUGCUUAGAUAUCGUCAAGAACACCUAUAGCGAAGGCAGCUUACUAGGCUGUAACUGACGCUGAGGCACGAAAGUGUGGGGAGCAAACAGG
rnacentral:rRNA from 1 species